UUUUUCCGAAGCCGUCUCUACUCAGCUUUUAAAAGUUGGUUCAAAAAAAAAUUUAACCGGUUGUUUUAAUGAACUUUUAACUUUCCCAUAAUACCCUCACUUAUUUUACAAAUUGACAGUCUUUUACCCCUUUUGUCUUCUCCAUUUUGCGAACUCCAUUUCCUUCAUUUCCUUCUCUACUCUCUGACGCUGCUGGAACUCUCAUUGUGGACAUCAAAAUAUUAAUUGGUAAGAAGAUUGCCCACUCAUCAGUAACUUAAUUACAAUUAUGGUUUUUCGGUUUUCUACUUCUCAAACUUUCUGCCUCUAGAGUUUUCUCUGUCAAAUUGGGGGUUUUUCUAUUUGUUGCAGGUUCUAGGAAGAAGAGAGAAAACCAGAGUCGGAGGGAGAGAGAGGGUGAUGAGUUUCAUGUUCCACCUGAGUUUGUUGUUCUUGUUUUUGGUUUUGGGUGGAAAGAUCCUGUUGCAGUAGUCCCAACUUUGGGGGGGCUUCAAGUACCCCCACUACAGCACUGUAAACCAGCUCAAAUCUCCAUGGCUGCAACCCAGAAAUCUGUAUUUUCACCAUGGCUACUUUCUCCACUAUGUUAUCUCCCAUUGCAAGAACACCAAAACAUAAACCCAACAUACAAUUUUUCCCCUUUUCGGCCUCACCUACCCAAAAGUACUAAAAACAAUUGGGGGAAACAUAUUAAAAGGAAAAAAAACUGGGGGAAACAUGAGAUAUUUUUGGUUAGAUGAAGGAAUGAAGAAAAAAAACUUGUAAAUGGUAGAAAGAGAAAAAUUGAAGUGGAGAGAUGGGCUGUGUUGGGUUUCCAAUUGGUGUCGUUGGGUUAGCAUUCAAUAUAUAACAAAAGGCAUUUACUUUUCUAAGAAGAGAGGAACAUGUGUAUAGUAUAAAUAAAUAAAGAAAAAAAAAUUAUGUAGUGAAG
rnacentral:lncRNA from 1 species